ACGAACGCUGGCGGCGUGCUUAACACAUGCAAGUCGCACGGAAAGGCCCUGCUUUUGUGGGGUGCUCGAGUGGCGAACGGGUGAGUAACACGUGAGUAACCUGCCCUUGACUUUGGGAUAACUUCAGGAAACUGGGGCUAAUACCGGAUAGGAGCUCCUGCUGCAUGGUGGGGGUUGGAAAGUUUCGGCGGUCGGGGAUGGACUCGCGGCUUAUCAGCUUGUUGGUGGGGUAGUGGCUUACCAAGGCUUUGACGGGUAGCCGGCCUGAGAGGGUGACCGGCCACGUUGGGACUGAGAUACGGCCCAGACUCCUACGGGGGGCAGCAGUGGGGAAUAUUGCACAAUGGGCGGAAGCCUGAUGCGGCAACGCCGCGUGCGGGAUGACGGCCUUCGGGUUGUAAACCGCUUUCGCCUGUGACGAAGCGUGAGUGACGGUAAUGGGUAAAGAAGCACCGGCUAACUACGUG
rnacentral:rRNA from 1 species